rnacentral:rRNA from 1 species
AGUUAUCUGCUGUUGGAAGAGUAUAAGAAAAUAAAAGAUAUACCAGAUAAUAAUAUGUGGUAAAAUAUAUUUAUUGUUUUGUGAGUUUAGGUUCUUUUAAGCUUAGAUCUCAUGAGGCUGUGUUCGUGACGAGGAUUUGGGACCCUCUUAAUAAAGCUGUUCAAAAUAUCCACGAGUAUUACGAGUAUAAAAUAUUUAAAACUCAAAAGGGUUGGCGGCAUUUCACAUCAGUUAGGGAAACUUGGCGGUUAAUUCGAUGACCCCCGUUGUACUUUACCUUUAUCAUUAACCUUUUAUACCGCCGUUGUAAUUCAUCUAACUCGAAAAGAAAAAUUUUAGGUGGACACACUUGAUUAUAAAAAUGAAGUGUAUUAAUUCAGGUAAACGUGAAGGUUAUAAAGGGCUUAGCUGAGUUACAAUUGUUUUUCCAUGUUGGAAUUAUGUCUGAAAAGUCGUACUAGAAAUCGAACUUGUUAGUAAAAUUAAAUGAGUGAGUUAAUUUGAAUUGUUAAGUUGAAAUGCGUACAAACCGCCCGGC